AUUGAACGCUGGCGGCAUGCCUUACACAUGCAAGUCGAACGGUAACGGGCCUUCGGGUGCCGACGAGUGGCGAACGGGUGAGUAAUACAUCGGAACGUGCCCGAUCGUGGGGGAUAACGAGGCGAAAGCUUUGCUAAUACCGCAUACGAUCUACGGAUGAAAGCGGGGGACCGCAAGGCCUUGCGCGGACGGAGCGGCCGAUGGCAGAUUAGGUAGUUGGUGGGAUAAAAGCUUACCAAGCCGACGAUCUGUAGCUGGUCUGAGAGGAUGAUCAGCCACACUGGGACUGAGACACGGCCCAGACUCCUACGGGAGGCAGCAGUGGGGAAUUUUGGACAAUGGGCGCAAGCCUGAUCCAGCCAUGCCGCGUGCAGGAUGAAGGCCUUCGGGUUGUAAACUGCUUUUGUACGGAACGAAAAGCCUUCUUUUAAUACAGGAGGGUCAUGACGGUACCGUAAGAAUAAGCACCAGCUAACUACGUG
rnacentral:rRNA from 1 species